rnacentral:lncRNA from 1 species
CAAAUCUGCAUAAAGGAUGAGCAUUAGAAAAGUGGAGGUAAAAUUAAAACUUUCUAUUUUCUUAUUCUUAACUGACCUAAGAAAUAUCACUUUAUUCAAGAUAAUAGCAACAAUGUAUCGAAUGGUCAUAUUUUACCUGUAAGUGAAAUUAAUGAAAGCCAUGAUAAAAUCAGGGGCAGCAGGGAAGAAUUAGGAAUAUUUUGUUAAUAAAAGGCACUUGCGGCUGGGCAUGGUGGCUCACACCUAUAAUCCCAGCACUUUGAGAGGCUGAGGCGGGUGGAUCACCUGAGGUCAGGAGUUCAAGACCAGCCUGGCCAGCAUGGUGAAACCCUGUCUCUACUAACAAAUGCAAAAAAUAAUUAGCCAGGCGUGGUGGUGGGUGCCUGUAAUUCCAGCUACUCAGAAGGCUGAGGCAGGGAGAAUUGCUUGAACCUGGGAGGCAGAGGUUAUAGUGAGCUGAGUUCACGGCAGCCUGGGUGACAGAGUAAGACUCCGUCUCAAAAAAAAAAAAAAGGCACUUCCUGUGAAGUGGUAGUGUAUAGUGUUAUUUGAAAUUCGACUUGGACUAGUUGUGAAUGUAUAUGGCAAACUCUAGGGAAACUUCAUAUGCUAACAGAGAGCACGGAAUCACAGAAAAUGCUCAAUUAAAACCACAAAAGGCAUGAAAAAGAGGAGAAGAAAAAAAUAAUGAGGGCAAUGAAUAGAAAAUGGUAACAAAUAUGGCAGAUACUAAUCCAGCUAUAUAAAUCAUCACUUUAAAUGUUAAUGGUCUGUGUCCUUGGCCUGGGUAGAGUGGCACCUAGUUGGUGGUGCCCAUAUUAGCCAGGGACAAAGCAACCCUUUGUUCAUCCCAGCUUGGCUUUUGAUCUGUACCUAUACCUGGUUCAUGCCUUAGACACAUGGAAAAAAAAUGUCAAUGGUCUAAAUACACCAGUUAAAAAAUAGAGUGGAUCAAAAAAAUGAGACCCAAUUAUAUGUUGUCUAUAAGAAAAUCAUUUGAAAUGUAAAGACACAUAGAUUAAAAGUGAAGGGAUAGGGAAAGAUACAUCAUGGUAACCUUAAUCAAAAGAAGGCUGGAGUAGCUGUAUUAAUUUCAGGCAAAGUAGACUUCAGAAGCAAUGGAAAUUAUCAGGGAUAAUUACAUAAUGGAGCAAUACAUAAUGAUAGGAGGGUGAAUUCUCUAAGGAGACAACAAUCCUUAACAUGUAUGCACCUGACAAUAGAGCAUGAAAAUAUGUGAAGUAAAGCCUGAUAGAACUGCAAGGAAAAAAUAGAUGAACACUUUAUUAUAGUUGGAGUUUUCAGCCCCUUCUGUCAGAAAUGGACAGAUCCUGCAGGCCAAAAUUAGUAAGGACAUCGUUGAACUCAGUGGCACCAUCAGUUGACUGGAGAUAAUUGACACCUAUGAUUACUUUAUCCAGUGAUAGCAGAGGACACGUUUUUCUCAAGUUCACAUGGAACAUUCGUCAAGAUAGACCACAUUCUGGGCCAUAUAUCACACCUUAAAGAAUUUAAAAUAAUAGAAAUCAUACACUGUAUGUUUUCAGGCCUCAAUGGAAUUAAACUGGAAAUCAGUAACAGAGAGAUAGCUGGAAAAUCGCAAAAUACUUGGAGAUUAAACAACACACUUCUAAUUAACACAUGGGUCAAAGAAGAAAUCUCAAGACAAAAUGAAACUACAACUUACCAAAAUUUGUGGGAUGCAAUAAAAGCAGUGACUAGAGGGAAAUUGAAAGCAUUGAAUCCAUAUACAGUUGGCUGUCUAUAAUGCCAGGUUUCACAUCCAUGGAUUAAACCAGCCAUGGAUUGAAAAUAUUUGAAAAAAAUAUAUGUGACAGAAAUAAUACAAGUGAAAAACUACAGCAUAACAACGAUGCAGCAUUUACAUUGUAUUAGAUAUAAGUAAUCUAGAGGUGAUUUAAAUUAAUGGGAGGAUGUGUACUAGUUACCUGCAAACUACACCAUUUCAUAUAAGGGACUUGAGCAUCUUCAGAAUUUUGUAUCUUUGGAGAGUCUUGGAACCAAUGCCCCACAAAUACCAAGGGAUGACUGUAUUAAAAAACGAGAUCUAAAAUUAAUAAUCUAAGCUUCCACCUUAGGAAACGAGAAAAAGAAGAGAAAAUUAAAUGCAAAGUAAGCAGCAGAAGAAAAAUAAUAAAAACUAUAGCAGAAAUCAAUUAAAAACAAGAAAUAGAAAAAAAUCAACAAAACCAAAAGCUGAUUCUUAGAAAAGAUUUAAAAGCUUCUAGCCAGGCUAAGAAAAAAAUGAAGAUGACACAAACUACAAAUAUUAGAAACAGAAGAAGGGGCAUUACAAAUCCCAUGGACAUUAAAAGAAUAAUAAAGGAAUACUGUGAACAAGUCCAUGCCCACAAAUUUGAUAACCUAGGUGAAACUGACCAAUUCCUUGAAAUACGCAAUCUAAUAAAAUACAAGAAGUAGGCAGUCUGAAUAGGCCUAUAUCUAGUAAGAGGUUGAAUCAAUAGAAACUUUCCAAAGCAGAAAGCACCAGGCCCAGAUGGGUUCACUGGUGAAUUCUAACAAACAUUUAAGGAAGAAAUUGUGCCAGUUCUCUACAAUCUCUUCCAGAAGAUAGACACAGAAGGAAUACUUCCUGAUUCAUUUUAUGAGGCCAGCAUUACCCUAAUACCAAAACCAGACAAAGACAUUAUAAGAAAACUACUGAUCAUUAUAUCUCAUGAAGAUAGAUGCAAAAACCCUUAACAAAAUAUUAGCAAAUGAAAAUCCAACAAUAUGUAAAAAGAAUUAUAUACCACAACCAAAUGGGUCUUAUUACAGAUAUGCAAGACUGGUUUAACAUCAGAAAUCAAUUAGUGUAAUUCAUCACAUCAAUAGGUGAAAGAAGGAAAAAUCAUACCAUCAUAUCAAUAGAUGCAGAAAAAACAUUUAACAACAGCCAACACCCAUUUAUGAUAAAAAUGCAUCAAACUAGGAAUACAGGGGAACUUAAUUUGAUGAAGAACAUCUACAAAAAACCUAUAGCUAAUACACUUACUGGUCAGAAACUAGAAACCUUUUCUUGGUGGACUGGAAGUCCUAGCUAAUGCAGUAGAAGGAAAUAAAGAGUUUGGGAAGGAAGAAAUAAGCUGUCUUUGUUCACAGGUGACAUGACUGUUUAUGUAUAAACCCAAAAGAAUUGACAAACUGCCAGAACUAGUAAGUGAUUAUAGUAAGGUUGCAGGAUACAAGAUGAAUAUAAGAAAGUGAAUCACUUUCCUAUAUACUAACAAUGAACAAGUGGAAUGUGAAAUAAAAAGCACAGUAUCAUUUACAUUAGCACGCUCCCUCAAAUUACUUAUUUAUAAACCUAACAAUAUGUGCAAGACCUAUAUGAGGAAAACAAAACUGGUGAAAGAAAUGGAGAGAAGUCCAUGUUCAUAGAUAAGAAGACUUAUUAUUGUCAAAAUCUCAGUUCUUCCCAACUUGUUCUAUAGAUUCAACAGAAUCCCAAUACAAUUCUAGCAAACUAUUUUGUGAAUAUUGACAAGCUGAUUCUAAUAUUUAUAUGGAGAAACAGAAGACCCACAAUAGCCAACACAAUAUUGAGGGAGAAGAAUAAAAGAGGACUGAGACUAACCAACCUUAAGAUUUACUGUGAAGCUACAGUAAUCAAGACAGUGUGAUAUUGGUGAAAGAAUAGACAAAUAGAUCAAUGGAACAGAAUAGAGAGUUCAGAUGUUGUUUCAGGCAAUUUCGAUUUUCAAAGAAUGAGUCUUCUAUGUGUUUUAAAAAAAACAGUGAAUGGGUUUUAAUGUGAUAGUUUUUGGCCCAACUAAAAUUUGGCUCUGGGUUUAAUGUGCUUUGGAGACAUUUUCAGAUGGUCAUUAAGGAUUAUUGGGAAAGUAUAGAAUUGGGGUUUGAUAUAACAAGGAACAGAAAGUAUGGGCUAGAAGCAUAGAUGUGGGUGUGUAGGGAGGAGAGGGUAGCUGUCUUGACAAGUGGCUGGAGCUAGGAAAACAGUCCCAGUGGAAUUAUUGUCAGUGAGGUGCCAAAUGUGCCGAGAGAUAACUAUUGAACAGGUGAAAAUCAAGUGUCCAAAAAUCCAACUGGAUUGGAGUCUUCAGCACAGCUCUCUGUCUCCACAUAAGUGGGGGUGUCACAGUGUCUUCCUGAGCUUGGGCCAACCAGUUAUCCAGUUUCAUGAGAAUGGGAGUCCUGUCCUGCCUACUUCAAGCACCCUUUUCUUGCCAGCCAGAAAGAGGCCUAUUCUAUUCUACAAGUCUUUGGUCCACCACCAUUCUGCUACCCCAUGAGCACAGCUCCAGGACUAGAUUUGAGUUAGUGGGCUGAGAAAUUCAUUGUCUUGAGCUUACAUGGUGGGGGAUGGAUAUCUCUGUUAUAUCCAUUGUAUAUAUGAGAAAACAGCAUCAAAGCAGUCAAAUAACCCGUCCAAGGUUUUAGCUUAUAUGUGACAAUCCAUGCUUGAGUUUGAUUCUGACUCCAAAAUCCAUAUUCUUUCCACAUUUCCUGGUGACUUUUGUACUCCUCUGCUAACUCCUGGUGAGUAAGAGGUAUGUAAGACCAGACAGUCCCAGAGGCUGCUGCAUUAUUAGAGAACGCCUAUGCCAAAAUGGGAGGAGGGAGGAGUUGGCUUAUCUGACCCUUGUGCUUGGGUGGGGCUGCAGCACCAGCAAAGUAGAUGGGGCCUGGUUGGUGUAAAACCACAGGAUGCUUUGGCCUUAAGGUCCCUUUUGCCUAGCAAGAUCGGCAAACCUGAAGAUGACAAAUCUGGGAAUCCUCAUUUCAUUUUUUAAAAGCUUUUUGUAUUAUGAAGCCUGUCUCUGCUUCUCAACUAAACUAUAGGCUCAUUGAGGGCAGGCACUUUCUAUGUUUUUAUGUCAUGCUAUCAUUCAGUGCUAUAUGCAUUAAAAAUUGUUAAUUCUGGUUAGUGAGUGCUUCUGUAGAGAUUUUAAAACUGGGCUACAUGAUGCCUGAAUUUCUGGCAAAUGAAAAAUUUUAGUAACAAAGUAUAAAAGAAUGUUUUACCUCAUCAUUGUAAGUUGUAAUAGUCACAAACAUUCCCAAACCAGGAGCAGAUUCAAGGAACGUAUGUCUGCCUAUGUCCCAUUGCUGUAUCUUGAAAGUCCCUGUUUCAAAAAUGUAAGACAUUACAACAUGUAAGAAACAGUAAUAAUGUUUAUUAGAUGUUACUGUUAAAUUAAAUGAAUUUAUCUUUCUCAGUUUACCUAAAUCGUAAAACACUCUUAGUCUGAACAGCUAUAGCUUGGUGAUUAGGUAUCUAACAGAGUAGAGGACUCUGGAGUAUAGAGGAAGACUUGAGUUCUUCAUUUCUCACUCUCGUUUACUAGGUAACUUGACAAAUUAUUUCACCACUCCAAGCCUCCAUUUCCUAUUCAGAAAAAUAGGGGUAAUAUAGAUCCCUCUCAGAUCUCAGUUGUGAGAACUGCCGAAAAUAAGCCUAUGAAAGGUUUCCACCUAGAAUGUAAACUCCAUGUGAGCUGCCACUAAGAGAUGGAACUCUUGGACCUUUUCCGAAACCUCCCCAGUAGUUCUCCCUGCUUUAACUUCUUUCUCCUGUAACUUGAUCCCAUACACUUCCAGCAGAAUUCCUUGCUAAAAUAUCAGUGUAGUCAUGUCAAAUCUUUCGUUUCAUUGUCUCCAGAGGUUUCUGCUGAAGGUUGGAUCUGAAGGAGUCUCUGGCUAUCUCCCAUUAGUAUGUGUUAGCUAUCAUAUGACUUAACUUCCCUCAUGUGCCCUUGAAAGGUACAGUGGGAAUGAAAACCAGGUAACAUUUGUUGGACCCAUAUUAUGCGCCAGGCACUGUGCUAAACACUUAACAUGCAUCACUCUUGUAUAGAUUUAUGUAACUAUAAUAUGUGCUUAUAAAGUACAAAUAUUAUAAAAUUUUAUAAAAGUGGGAGAAAAGGCACUACACUGUCUGGGUUUGAAUCCUGACUCUACUGCUUGCUAGCUAUGUGGGCAAAUUAAUUUUUCUAUACUUUAGUUUCAUUAUAUCUAAAAUCGUUAUAAAAGUAGUAUUUACCAGCUGAGCACGGCGGCUCAUGCCUGUAAUCCCAGCACUUGGGGAGGCUGAGGCAGGCAGAUCACUUGAGGCCAGGAGUUUGAGACCAGCUUGGCCAACAUCGCGAAACCUCAUCUCUACUAAAUAUACAAAAACUAGCCGGGCGUGGUGGCGCAUGCCUGUAAUCUCAGCUACUCAGGAGGCUGAGGCAUGAGAACCGCUUGAA